UAACGGGGCGGUCCUCUAUGGGGCCCGUCAUUGUAUUGAGUAAAACUCAAAAUAUUUAACGAAACCAAUUGGAGGGCAAGUCUGGUGCCAGCAGCCGCGGUAAUUCCAGCUCCAAAAGCAUAUAUUAAAGUUGUUGCGGUUAAAAAGCUCGUAGUUGGAUCCAUGACCUCGGAGGGCGGUCCCCCACUGGGUGCGUACUGCUGCUCCGAGUCCUAUCUGUCAGUUUGUCUGUGUUGCCUUUAAUCGGGUGGCACAGGUGACUGACGUGUUUACUUUGAAAAAAAUUAGAGUGUUUAAAGCAGGCGUUGAAUGCCUGAAUAGUGGUGCAUGGAAUAAUGGAAUAGGAUCUCGGUUCUAUUUUGUUGGUUCAAGAGCAUGAGAAAAUGAUUAAGGGACAGACGGGGGCAUUUGUAUUGCUGCGUUAGAGGUGAAAUUCUUGGAUCGUAGCAAGACAAACUACUGCGAAGGCAUUUGCCAAGAAUGUUUUCAUUAAUCAAGAACGAAAGUUAGAGGUUCGAAGGCGAUCAGAUACCGCCCUAGUUCUAACCGUAAACCAUGUCGACUAGCUAUCUGUCAGCGUUAAUAAUGACCUGACAGGCAGCUUACCGGAAACGAAAGUUUCUCGAUUCCGGGGGUAGUAUGGUUGCAAAGCUGAAACUUAAAGGAAUUGACGGAAGGGCACCACCAGGAGUGGAGCCUGCGGCUUAAUUUGACCCAACACGGGAAAACUCACCCGGCCCGGACACCGUAAGGAUUGACAGAUUAAUAGCUCUUUCUCGAUUUGGUGAUUGGUGGUGCAUGGCCGUUCUUAGUUGGUGGAGCGAUUUGUCUGGUUAAUUCCGAUAACGAACGAGAUUCUAACUUACUAACUAGUUCCACGAUCCUUGUGGUCCUAAAUACUUCUUAGAGGGAAAACCGGCAUUUAGUCGAACGAGAUUGAGCAAUAACAGGUCUGUGAUGCCCUUAGAUGUCCGGGGCUGCACGCGUGCUACACUGAAGGAAUCAGCGUGUUUUUCCCUUGCCUGUAAUGGCUGGGUAACCGACUGAAUCUCCUUCGUGUUAGGGAUAGAUCAUUGAAACUAGUGAUCUUCAAUUUGGAAUUCCUGGUACGUUUGAGUCAUAAGCUCAAGCAGAUUACGUCCCUGCCCUUUGUACACACCGCCCGUCGCUACUACCGACUGGCAAUAUCUUUGAGACACUUGGAGCGGCCGUGAGCUACCCUAACCGGUAACUCACGGCUGCGAAAAGGUU
rnacentral:rRNA from 1 species